GUGACAACAUGUUGAAUGCAACAGGACAUCUCUGAAUGAUUUGGAAGCUAUGUCGCUCAGAGGUCCUCUUUUCUUCCGCGGGUCUCAUGAUCGCAAUCUCAUCAGUUUUGAUCAUCAAACAGAGAACAGCCAAACUCAGAAUAAGCAAGUGUGUGGGAGCGAUGUCAGAAGUGGAGCCCAGCUGGUGUCAUAUCCUUCAUGAACUAUAAAAGGUUUACAGAAGUCAGCCGGAUCCGGGCUGUAUCCAGAUCAGAUGGUGAGCCUUAUCCAGAUCAGAAGGUGGGCCUUAUCCAGAUCAGAUGGUGGACCUAUGCCUGGACCCACCCACAACCAUUUCUCUAAAAACUUAAAGAAAUACAUUCUUGAGAACCAGCUGUGUCAGCAUCAGUGCGUUUAAUGUAUACAUUGUGAGUAGAGAUGGUCCUUUGAAUAUGUUCUCUCAUUUUGUAUCUGAUUGUUUUAAUAUGAUUGUCAUAGACUAAUAUGCGUAGCUAUAUUACUAUUCGUAGUUGUUUUGCAAUGUUCUAAUGUCUUAAAUUGUGUGCACCUGCCCGGGGACUGCGGAUGAAAACUAGCUUCGGCUAACUCUGGCACAAAGCAUCUCUUCGCAAGACUAAUGUAUUUUGUGCACUGUCCCUGAUAAAUAAAU